CAGUAGCCGCGGGAAUACGUAGGGGGCGAGCGUUGUCCGAAGUUACUGGGCGUAAAGCGCGCGUAGGCGGCUUCUUAAGUCUGAGGUGAAAGGUUCAACGCUUAACGUGAACAGUGCCUUGGAUACUGGGGAGCUUGAGUAUGGGAGAGGGCAGUGGAAUGGCUGGUGUAGCGGUGAAAUGCGUAGAUAUCAGUCGGAACACCCAUGGCGAAGGCAGCUGCCUGGCCUAAUACUGACGCUGAGGUGCGAAAGCGUGGGGAGCGAACGGGAUUAGAUACCCCAGUAGUCCCUGUCUCUUAUA
rnacentral:rRNA from 1 species